GUUCGGCCUUUAAACAAUUACAUGAUUUGAGUUCAGACCGGUACAAGCCAGGUCGGUUUCCAUCUUUUAUAUUCAAUUAUAAAGUACGAAAGGACCUAUAAUUAUAAUAUUAUUAUAGCCAUAGUAAUUAUACAUUAGAAUUUAAAUCUAAUAAAUUAAUAUUAUACAACUAUUAUUUUCACUUAAUUUAAUUACU
rnacentral:rRNA from 1 species